CCUACGGGAGGCAGCAGUGGGGAAUAUUGGGCAAUGGGCGCGAGCCUGACCCAGCGACGCCGCGUGAGGGAUGAAGGCCUUCGGGUUGUAAACCUCUUUCAGUAGGGAAGAAGCGAAAGUGACGGUACCUAAAGAAGAAGCACCGGCUAACUAUGUGCCAGCAGCCGCGGUAAUACAUAGGGUGCAAGCGUUGUCCGGAAUUAUUGGGCGUAAAGAGCUCGUAGGUCGUUUGCCGCGUCGAUUGUGAAAAUCUGAGGCUCAACCUCAGACCUGCAGUCGAUACGGGCAAACUAGAGUGUGGUAGGGGAGACUGGAAUUCCUGGUGUAGCGGUGGAAUGCGCAGAUAUCAGGAGGAACACCAAUGGCGAAGGCAGGUCUCUGGGCCAUAACUGACACUGAGGAGCGAAAGUGCGGGGAGCGAACAGGAUUAGAUACCCUGGUAGUCCGCACCGUAAACGGUGGGCACUAGUUGUGGGAACCUUCCACGGUUUCCGCGACGCAGCAAACGCAUUAAGUGCCCCGCCUGGGGAGUACGAUCGCAAGAUUAAAACUCAAAGGAAUUGACGG
rnacentral:rRNA from 1 species